UACAGAGGGUGCGAGCGUUUAAUCGGAAUUACUGGGCGUAAAGCGCGCGUAGGCGGCUUUGCAAGUCGGGUGUGAAAUCCCCAGGCUUAACCUGGGAACUGCAUUCGAGACUGCAUUGCUAGAGUAUGGGAGAGGGAAGUGGAAUUUCCGGUGUAGCGGUGAAAUGCGUAGAGAUGUGGAGGAACACCGAUGGCGAAGGCAGCCCCCUGGGUCAACACUGACGCUCAUGCACGAAAGCGUGGGGAGCAAACAGG
rnacentral:rRNA from 1 species